rnacentral:snRNA from 1 species
GUUACUUCUUGGCCUUGUGGCUAAGAUCAAGAGCAGUAUCUGUUCUUAUCUGUUUAAAAACUAUAAGAAAAUGUUUCUCUCUUUUUUUUUUCUUUUAAGCUUCC